CGAAAGCACUCCGUUGAAUAACGGGGACAGACCAGAAACGACUUUGAGAGAUAUUCCAGAGAAUGGAUUGGGUGGAGGAGGCCAACUGUACAGUGGAGUGAUACAAGCAAACUGUGAAUUUGUCAUGUAAGCAAAGAAUCUUAGACAUGCAGGGAAAGGAUGCAUCCAUUUAAUUGGUUUUCUCCACCUUCUCUGUCCAGUAGCAUCUGAGAUGGUGUACACAGCUUCAUGGUGUCGAUGUUUUGUCUUCUUUUAAGACUGACUUUUUCCCGGCAUGUGACAGGUUGAUAAGAAAAAUAAAAUGUAGUAAGAUUGCUACUGUUCA